UUACGGCCACAUCACUUUGAAACACUAGUUCUCGUACGAUCACCGAAGUUAAGCAACGUCGAGACUGGGCAGUACCUAAACGGGUGACUGCUUGGGAAUGCCAGUUGCUGAAA